rnacentral:rRNA from 1 species
GACGAACGCUGGCGGCGUGCUUAACACAUGCAAGUCGAACGAUGAAGCCCUUCGGGGUGGAUUAGUGGCGAACGGGUGAGUAACACGUGGGCAAUCUGCCCUUCACUCUGGGACAAGCCCUGGAAACGGGGUCUAAUACCGGAUAACACCUGCCCGGGCAUCUGGGUGGGUUAAAAGCUCCGGCGGUGAAGGAUGAGCCCGCGGCCUAUCAGCUUGUUGGUGAGGUAGUGGCUCACCAAGGCGACGACGGGUAGCCGGCCUGAGAGGGCGACCGGCCACACUGGGACUGAGACACGGCCCAGACUCCUACGGGAGGCAGCAGUGGGGAAUAUUGCACAAUGGGCGAAAGCCUGAUGCAGCGACGCCGCGUGAGGGAUGACGGCCUUCGGGUUGUAAACCUCUUUCAGCAGGGAAGAAGCGAAAGUGACGGUACCUGCAGAAGAAGCGCCGGCUAACUACGUGCCAGCAGCCGCGGUAAUACGUANGGCGCAAGCGUUGUCCGGAAUUAUUGGGCGUAAAGAGCUCGUAGGCGGCUUGUCACGUCGGGUGUGAAAGCCCGGGGCUUAACCCCGGGUCUGCAUUCGAUACGGGCUAGCUAGAGUGUGGUAGGGGAGAUCGGAAUUCCUGGUGUAGCGGUGAAAUGCGCAGAUAUCAGGAGGAACACCGGUGGCGAAGGCGGAUCUCUGGGCCAUUACUGACGCUGAGGAGCGAAAGCGUGGGGAGCGAACAGGAUUAGAUACCCUGGUAGUCCACGCCGUAAACGGUGGGAACUAGGUGUUGGCGACAUUNCACGUCGUCGGUGCCCAGCUAACGCAUAAGUUCCCCCCUGGGGGUNCNGCGCANGGUAAACUNAAGNAUUGACGGGGNCCNNCAACANCGAACUGNGGUUAUUUGACCACCCAAAACNUACNAGGNUGANUAACCGAACGCCAAAUGUCCCCNUGGNCGGUCANGNGGCUGGUNCCACCUUUCGGAAUNGGUANCCCCANCACUGUUGUCCAUCCUNGGAGGACAAAANCGGNAUNGAGGGAAAAAAUCNUUUGUNCUNAG